UACAGAGACUGCGAGCGUUAUUCGGAUUCACUGGGCGUAAAGGGUGCGCAGGCGGCCGUGUGUGUGAGGCGUGAAAGCCCGGGGCUUAACCCCGGAAUUGCACCUCAAACUACACGGCUAGAGCAUUGGAGAGGGUAACGGAAUUCACGGUGUAGCAGUGAAAUGCGUAGAUAUCGUGAGGAACACCAGAGGCGAAGGCGGUUACCUGGACAGUUACUGACGCUCAGGCACGAAAGCGUGGGGAGCAAAAGGG
rnacentral:rRNA from 1 species